GAUAGAACCCACGUGGGAGGAUCCUGAAAAUGCAAGUGGGGGAAAGUGGUCUGUUACCAGUACUGGAAAGGCCAAUCUUGACUCCAUGUGGCUUGAGACGUUAAUGGCUUUGAUUGGAGAGCAAUUUGAAGAGAGUGAGGAGAUCUGCGGAGUUGUUGCAAAUGUCCGCCAGAGACAGGACAAGAUCGCACUUUGGACAAAGAGAGCAAGCAAUGAAGCUGUUCAGACUAGUAUCGGGAAGAAAUGGAAGGACAUCAUUGACGUCCAAGAUAAGAUUGCAUACAGCUUCCAUGGAGAGAAAGCAAGCAGGAGCGGGCGUUACAGCGUCUGAAGGCCGUGUUGUUUAUUGCGGGUUACUGCUUUUGUUUUGCUUCGUUAAGAGCAAUACUUGGUGUUCUCUUUGAUGGAUUGUAGUUUUUGUGUUCGGUACUGUUUUACUGAAUUCCGAUGCACUAUGGUUGUAGUGUUU
rnacentral:misc_RNA from 1 species